GGGAUUAUAGUUAAUAAUAACAUUUGAUCUGCAAUCAAAAAGAAUUGAAAUAAACAAUUUAUCUCA
rnacentral:tRNA from 1 species